CUUACAUAAGCAACCCGUGAACUAACAGCCAACAGCACCCUCACUGAGAAAUGAAGGAUUUUUAAAGACUCUGAAGCUUUCUCCCUACAAAACAGCUACAAUGUUAAAAAGCUGGAGUCCAACUCCUAACAUUGAAAAGCAAAAGGCAGAUGUGGUGGUGCAUGCGUCUUACUCCAGGAGAUGAGGGCACGAAGAUUCCAAGUUUGAAAAAUCUUCAAGAAAGAAUGUGGCAAGUGAAUGUGACUCCUGGCCUCAGCUCCAUGUCAGUCACUGGAGUCCCAUCAAGCUCCCCCAGACAACAACCAAAAAGCACUUCAUUGAGCAAAUAUGCUUCAAGGAAUCUGUUCUCAGAAGAGGGAUGCAAAGGGCCGGGGAGAUGGCUCAGUGAGUAAAGGUGCCUGCUGCCA